rnacentral:rRNA from 1 species
CCUGGCUUAGGAUGAACGCUAGCGACAGGCCUAACACAUGCAAGUCGAGGGGCAGCACAAGGAGCAAUCUGAGGUGGCGACCGGCGCACGGGUGAGUAACACGUAUGCAACCUGCCUGUAAGCGGGGAAUAACCCGUUGAAAGACGGACUAAUACCGCAUAAUACUAAAUUACUGCAUGGUAAUUUAUUUAAACAUUUUAUGGCUUACAGAUGGGCAUGCGCAUGAUUAGCUAGUUGGAGAGGUAACGGCUCCCCAAGGCAACGAUCAUUAGGGGUUCUGAGAGGAAGGUCCCCCACACUGGUACUGAGACACGGACCAGACUCCUACGGGAGGCAGCAGUGAGGAAUAUUGGUCAAUGGACGAGAGUCUGAACCAGCCAAGUCGCGUGCAGGAAGAAUGUCCCUAUGGAUUGUAAACUGCUUUUGCAGGGGAAUAAAGUGCAUCACGUGUGAUGUUUUGUAUGUACUCUGCGAAUAAGGAUCGGCUAACUCCGUGCCAGCCGCCGC